ensembl:ncRNA F54A3.7 ncRNA
GAAACUCGAAAACUAGGCAUUUCUAGCUCAAUUUUGGAAUUUCCCGGAUUACUGUAGCGCCAAAAGUACGCAAACACCGACUA